UGGCUGCUGUUGAGCAGCAUCAGUUUCAAGACCACACAAGGAGCCGCGUCGACAGCUCAGAAAUGUGCGGUAGAGGCAGAGAUGGUUAUUUGACAGAAAGUUUCCAUCGACUCCAGAGAAUGAGUCCUYUAAAUAUCCUUUGUGGUUCUCAGAUGGAGUAGUUGCAAAAUGGAAUUGAUUAAAAGGUUCCUGCUCCAAUUUAUAUCUGCUCCUUUCGCUUUAAUGUGAGAACCUGAGCAUGGGAAAGAAAAAUUCAAGCAGGCUGCUCACACUUUCCUGAGGAAGGAACACAUGCAAGGGAAGAAAAACAAUGAAUUCAAGAGMGUGGAGCUGCUGAAAAACAAGGUUCAGUGCCCCGUCCCUCCCCUGUGAUAACAUUGCUGCGAGUAAAGCUUCAUCACCAGUGUUACAUACAGCUCGUACAGCCCAGGGCUGUCAGCCCUCGUUAUUUGGAAACUGAGCAAAUGGAGURCAUUACUUCUUCAAACAGCCUUCAGAAACUGGGCUGUUGAACAGAACAAGAGGCACCAGUGCAGCUAGAGACUGUCAMAUGGUUUGAAUUGAAGCAAUCAUCUCUCCUCCACUCCCCCUGCAGCAUCAAGGAGUGUCAGUGUUGGUGCACUACCAGGGAAUUGAAAUUCAAAAUAAACGUGGCUUUUUUUUUCUU